rnacentral:lncRNA from 10 species
CGGAAACCCGAGCCUUGGCGGGAAGAUCCUGGAGGAUUCCGCGGGCGGAAAUGAAGCUUGAAAGACUGCCCUGAAUCCUCAUCUAUUGAUGGAGAUGGUGUCAUCCUGCCUUGAUUUUAUCCAGAAGCUUCAUCCCCAAGAUAACGGAUGGACACCUCUCAGAUGACCAGCUUCUUUUGCUCGACUCUAGAGAAGGUUGCUUUCUGCAUUCUGGCAACUGCCCUCAGUCUACAUGAUUAGACUUGUUGGUUGCAGUGCUUUCUGGAGUAAUGAAGGAUCCAGUGCACAGGUCUUAAUUCAUUGGGCACAAUCUCUAAGCCAACUCUGCCUGAAUGGGUCCCCUGUUUUUUCUCUUCUGCUCUUGUUGAACCAUAUCUCUCUUCCUCAUGCUCCUGGGAAUUUCUUGCUCUGGUCAUGAAAAAAAUGGAAACUCUCUCAAGGACUAACAAUCAGAGCUCUCUGGUUGACAAGGGACGUUACGGUUGCA